rnacentral:rRNA from 1 species
GCGGCGGACGGGUGAGUAAUGCUUAGGAAUCUGCCUAUUAGUGGGGGACAACAUCUCGAAAGGGAUGCUAAUACCGCAUACGUCCUACGGGAGAAAGCAGGGGACCUUCGGGCCUUGCGCUAAUAGAUGAGCCUAAGUCGGAUUAGCUAGUUGGUGGGGUAAAGGCCUACCAAGGCGACGAUCUGUAGCGGGUCUGAGAGGAUGAUCCGCCACACUGGGACUGAGACACGGCCCAGACUCCUACGGGAGGCAGCAGUGGGGAAUAUUGGACAAUGGGGGGAACCCUGAUCCAGCCAUGCCGCGUGUGUGAAGAAGGCCUUUUGGUUGUAAAGCACUUUAAGCGAGGAGGAGGCUACCGAGAUUAAUACUCUUGGAUAGUGGACGUUACUCGCAGAAUAAGCACCGGCUAACUCUGUGCCAGCAGCCGCGGUAAUACAGAGGGUGCAAGCGUUAAUCGGAUUUACUGGGCGUAAAGCGCGCGUAGGUGGCCAAUUAAGUCAAAUGUGAAAUCCCCGAGCUUAACUUGGGAAUUGCAUUCGAUACUGGUUGGCUAGAGUAUGGGAGAGGAUGGUAGAAUUCCAGGUGUAGCGGUGAAAUGCGUAGAGAUCUGGAGGAAUACCGAUGGCGAAGGCAGCCAUCUGGCCUAAUACUGACACUGAGGUGCGAAAGCAUGGGGAGCAAACAGGAUUAGAUACCCUGGUAGUCCAUGCCGUAAACGAUGUCUACUAGCCGUUGGGGCCUUUGAGGCUUUAGUGGCGCAGCUAACGCGAUAAGUAGACCGCCUGGGGAGUACGGUCGCAAGACUAAAACUCAAAUGAAUUGACGGGGGCCCGCACAAGCGGUGGAGCAUGUGGUUUAAUUCGAUGCAACGCGAAGAACCUUACCUGGUCUUGACAUAGUAAGAACUUUCCAGAGAUGGAUUGGUGCCUUCGGGAACUUACAUACAGGUGCUGCAUGGCUGUCGUCAGCUCG